rnacentral:rRNA from 1 species
GACGAACGUUGGCGGCGUGCUUAAUACAUGCAAGUCAACUGAAGCACCGGUAGUAAUACUGGUGUGGAGGUGGCGCACGGGUGAGUAACACGUAGGUAAUCUGCCUUCAGGUCUGACAUAACCCCGAGAAAUCAGGGCUAAUAGCAGAUGAUGCAGCGGCUUGACAUCAAGACAGUUGUUAAAAGCUUCGGCGCCUGAAGAUGAGCCUGCGUCUGAUUAGCUAGUUGGCGGAGUAAUAGCCCACCAAGGCGACGAUCAGUAGCUGGUCUGAGAGGAUGAUCAGCCACACUGGAACUGAGACACGGUCCAGACUCCUACGGGAGGCAGCAGUAAGGAAUAUUGCUCAAUGGGAGAAAUCCUGAAGCAGCAACGCCGCGUGAGGGAUGAAGGGCUUUUGCUCGUAAACCUCUGUAGUGAGGGAAAAAUUUCCAUUCUAUGGAAUAUGAUGGUACCUCAAAAGUAAG